AGCAAAGUCAGCUAAAUAAGCUUUUGGGCCCAUACCCCAAAGAUGUGGGUUUGAACCCCACCUUCGCUA
rnacentral:tRNA from 1 species